rnacentral:tRNA from 1 species
GUCGGAGUGGCGGAACUAGGUAGACGCGCUAGGUUGAGGGCCUAGUGGGCGCAUAGCCCGUCGGGGUUCAAAUCCCCGCUCCGACACCA